rnacentral:rRNA from 1 species
AUGGUCACAAGGCAGCAGCUUUACCACUGCGCAAAGGCUCCCCUUCGGAUUGAGGUCCCUUCUUGCUCAAAAAUAAUAAUCCAGGAUCUUACUCGUGCUAAUGAGCGCACUAUUGAGACUCCCAUGGAACUCAAUGUUCACCUCCCUACUUCUGAUGUUGAUCCAUUGUCUAAUCCGGCGCUUUAUCAACAUUUUGUUGGGAGUCUUGUCUAUCCGCCUGACACUCACCCGGAAGAAGAAACAAACUACAGUCCCCCCGUUCGAGUGCACCUCUUCCCGCGGCGCCGUCGCUCCACUUUCCUACUCUACCCUCCACUAUAUGUGCUACUGAUGUUGAUCCAUUGUCUAAUCUGA